GGCGCGUUGGCAGAAUGGUGUAUGCAGUGGAUUGCAAAUCCAUUAAUCUCGGUUCAAUUCCGAGACGCGCCU
rnacentral:tRNA from 3 species